CCAUACGCAACCGAGCUAAUUGCUUGCGUCGGGUCUCGCACGAGCCCUCGCGAAGAAGCCAAGCUAUACGAGUCCGGCGACGCGGUCGGUCGUCGGGGCGGAGGAGAAAGAAGCCAAAGGUGGAAGGAGGCGGCCAAAAGGAAGACGUCAUCCUAGGAACGCAAGGAAGGAAGGCCGCUUCUCUGAUCUCCUCUCCUCUUCCUUUCCCAGCAAGCUCUAAGGCUUUUUAGCGAUACCUACCGAACGAGGUUUUCGCACUGAGUCACACCACCACUUCCCGGAUCGAUCAAUGGACAUCGAACCGGCCGAUCAGUACGGAAACAAAAGGUCUUUCCAGCGAGCAGGAUCGUCGCAGGGUGCGCCCGACAGGGUCAACAAGGUCUGCUUCGACUGGCAAGCGGGACGAUGCAAUCGCCACCGCUGUCGCUUCCUCCACAGCGAGCUUCCGCAGCCCAUGUCCGCUGAUGGCGCCACCUCCAGGCGGGGCUAUCACCAGGGUCUCGUGCGGGGAAAUUCUGGUGCGGCCGGUGCCUCAAUCUCCGGUUGGGGAAAGGGCCGAGCGGGCCGCAAGGCUUCCGACAAGAUCUGCAGUUACUUCAUCGGUGGGAAUUGCAGCUAUGGGGAUAAAUGCAGGUUCUUGCAUUCGUGGUUCAUCGGUGACAGCUUCUCCCUCUUGGCCCCGCUUCAAGGGCAUCAGAAUGUCGUUACUGGUAUUGCACUAUCUUCAGAGUCCGGCAAGCUCUACUCUGGCAGCAAGGACGAAUCUGUUCGGGUUUGGGAUUCUCAGACUGGACAAUGCACGGGAGUUUUCAAUGUUGGAGGUGAGGUUGGAUGUAUGAUCAGUGAAGGUGCUUGGAUAUUUAUUGGAGUUCCAAAUGCCGUCAAGGCAUGGAACACACAAACCGCAACAGAUCAAAACCUUGAUGGACCUAUCGGACAAGUUUAUGCUUUGGUUGUUGGCAACGAUAUGCUGUUUGCUGGUACACAGGAUGCACAUAUAUUGGCAUGGAAGUUCAAUGUUGCUGGGAACUGCUUUGAACCUGCUGCUUCUCUUAAUGGCCAUCGACUUGCGGUGGUUUCUUUAGUUGUGGGAGUCAUGAGGCUGUACUCUGGUUCCAUGGAUCACACAAUAAAAGUCUGGGAUCUUGCAACUUUACAAUGUCUUCAGACCCUCAAUGACCAUACGUCCGUUGUUACAUCAUUACUUUGUUGGGAUCAAUUUUUGCUAUCUUCUUCUUUGGACCAAACAAUUAAGGUUUGGGCUGCUACAGAAAGCGGAAACCUGGAAGUAAAAUACAUUCACAACAAGGAACAUAAUUGGUGCAUGCCAUGACUUGGUGCCUGUCUUAAACCUGCAGUAGCGACAACGUGGCGUGCAUCAAGAAGCACACUGCCCAGUCCCCACCUCUCACCCUUUAGAUGCACACCACGCUGGCCAGUUGUUACUCGGCAUGAGCAGCACCUCUUCUGUUAUAUGAGAAUGUUCACUUCAGCAGUAGCUUUAGAUAUUGGAUUCUUGUCCUUCGCAUUGCACAUCAUAUGUUGGUGGAGUUGUUGCAAGCCGACACCUGAUUAUGUUUGUGCAACAUGCUUCUGUAGGAAGAUAGGAAUUUUUAACCUAAUCUACUCACCUGUGUUACUAACGAAUGCCAUUUUUGUUCCCAGGGUGUGCUUGUUCUAUGUGGCAUGCAUGAUGCUCAAGCCAAACCAGUCUUGCUAUGUUCUUGCACCGACAAAAGCAUUCAUAUCUAUGACCUUCCUUCAUUCAUCGAGCGGGGUAAGAUAUUCUCCAAGAAAGAGGUGAGAGCAAUGGAAGUUGGACCUAGUGACCUAUUUUUUACGGGAGAUGGCACGGGUGAACUGAAGGUGUGGAAAUGGUCGACGAACAAGAUG